rnacentral:lncRNA from 1 species
AUGCCAGCCCAGGACAAGGAGGUUUUGAAAGGACACAAGAAAAACAGAGCCAAAGUAAACACCAGCAAGGAAAGAGAAGAGGAGAGGAAGAAACAGAAAUAUCCAUGGAAAUCUGUCAGGCAUAAAGCUGCACCAUUUGGAAGAAACAAGACUGUCUUUCCUCACAGCUACGAUGCUACACCGCUUUCGACAGAGCCUGCUUUUCCCUCCAUCUACCUGGGCGGCUGCUGCUCUUUCUGCUGCUGCUGGGGCUGCUGCAGUCUUGCUGCCUGCGCUUCGCCCUGGCUUGGCUGA